rnacentral:lncRNA from 1 species
AAUCCAAGUAUUAAAGGUGAGCAUUACUAUUCAAAGGGACAUAAUUAACCUGUUAAAUUAUUCUUAGAGCAAGGAACCAGUUAUUAUCUAACCGAAUAACUGUAAACUAGCUUCUUUUUCUAAAAUGAGGUGUCGUCUUUAAAUAGAUAUGGACCGGAGAGGGGGCUUGAGAAAUGCUAAUUAGGCUAGAGGCGUAUGAUUUUUUUUUCUCCCGUUGCAAUGCACGGGCAUGUUUGCUAUAAUAAUAAAGCAUCCAGUGGAGGGGUUUAGAAAAAUAGAAACGGUUCUAUUUGAUAUGUAAUUUAGAAAUUAAUGGCUGGAGGAUCCUAAACUAACAUAUGGCAUUUUGUUUCAAUUUCUCUUUACCUGAUUGUGUUACUUAUGCACAAUCACCAUACUUGACAUAGGUCCUGCACUUCCGUUGACGAGUAUUUUGUCAGCAUCUCGAUGCGGAGGUACAACUUUAGCUGAUCUUCGUCAUGUUUUACAUUGUUUCUCAGUACUUUUUACUGCAAUGUGGAGGUCAGAUUCUAGCUGAUAUAUCUUCAUGCUUUACCUUGUUUACCAAUGUCCCAAUGUGGACGUAAAGAUUCUAGCUGAUAUAUCUUCAUGUUUUACCUUGUUUACCAAUGUCCCAAAAUUUUGUUUCGUUUUUGCUUUGAAUUAAUUUUCCUUACUUUGACUGAGUAGGACAUUUAUUUGAAAUACUAAAUUGUGGUGUCGCUACCUCUAAGGACCACAGCGUUGUAGCGCCCUUGGCACAAGGUGACCAUCUUCAGCGCAUCGUGGUGUCGCUGCCCACACGAUCUCUACAGACACCACAAAAGGCUACAGGACCGACAAGGCCGGUGGCCUGACCACUGAAUCACGUUGUUGUGCGGGCGCCUUGAUCUCGCAUGCGGCCGUCUAAAGCCCCAGGGGCCAACCUCGCUCGAGCGUCGCCGACAGGCUCUCUUUUGCACAGGAGAAAAUGGUUGGAUAUAUGUGCCUCCUCCGUCUCUUAUUCCCUGAAAUGUAAUUUGAUGACUCAUUGAUGUCACACUCGCUUAGGAUUAAACUGCACAGGUUAGAUUGACAUUUUGCCCUGUGUUUAAUUACUACAUGCACUGCACGCUGAUCCAUGUAUAUAUUGGCUCCCCUAUAUAUACCUCUAUUGGUGAAAAGUUUUGACUUCCGAGUUUUGUCAGACGUGAGUUGCAGCAAUUUUCAGUUACUUUUCUAUGCCUGUCAUUCAUCUCUGAACCGUUGUGAUGGAGAUUGUAAUACUGUGUUUAGAAUAUGUCAGUCCAUAUGCGAGAUCUUCUUUUCAACUUGGCAACCAU